AGUGAACGCUGGCGGUAGGCCUAACACAUGCAAGUCGAACGGCAGCACAGUAAGAGCUUGCUCUUACGGGUGGCGAGUGGCGGACGGGUGAGGAAUACAUCGGAAUCUACUUUUUCGUGGGGGAUAAGGAGGGGAAACUAACGUAAAUCCGCCAACGGCCUUACGGGUGAAGGAAGGGGUUCUUGGAACUUGGCGGGUUUGAAUAGGCCGAUGUCGGAUUAGCUAGUUGGCGGGGUAAAGGCCCACCAAGGCGACGAUCCGUAGCUGGUCUGAGAGGAUGAUCAGCCACACUGGAACUGAGACACGGUCCAGACUCCUACGGGAGGCAGCAGUGGGGAAUAUUGGACAAUGGGCGCAAGCCUGAUCCAGCCAUACCGCGUGGGUGAAGAAGGCCUUCGGGUUGUAAAGCCCUUUUGUUGGGAAAGAAAAGCAGCAGGUUAAUACCCCGCUGUUCUGACGGUACCCAAAGAAUAAGCACCGGCUAACUUCGUG
rnacentral:rRNA from 1 species